rnacentral:rRNA from 1 species
GAUGAACGCUGGCGGCGUGCCUAAUACAUGCAAGUCGAGCGAACAGACGAGAGUGCUUGCACUCUCUGACGUUAGCGGCGGACGGGUGAGUAACACGUGGGUAACCUACCUAUAAGACUGGGAUAACUUCGGGAAACCGGAGCUAAUACCGGAUAAUAUUUAGCUUCGCAUGAAGCAAUAGUGAAAGACGGUUCUGCUGUCACUUAUAGAUGGACCCGCGGUGUAUUAGCUAGUUGGUGAGGUAACGGCUCACCAAGGCAACGAUACAUAGCCGACCUGAGAGGGUGAUCGGCCACACUGGGACUGAGACACGGCCCAGACUCCUACGGGAGGCAGCAGUAGGGAAUCUUCCGCAAUGGACGAAAGUCUGGCGGAGCAAUGCCGCGUGAGUGAAGAAGGUUUUCGGAUCGUAAAACUCUGUUGUAAGGGAAGAACAAGUACGUUAGUAACUGAACGUACCUUGACGGUACCUUACCAGAAAGCCACGGCUAACUACGUG